AUGGCUGUCGUCAGCUCGUGUCGUGAGAUGUUGGGUUAAGUCCCGCAACGAGCGCAACCCUCGCCUUUAGUUGCCAUCAUUCAGUUGGGCACUCUAAAGGGACUGCCGGUGUUAAACCGGAGGAAGGUGGGGAUGACGUCAAGUCCUCAUGGCCUUUAUGACCAGGGCUACACACGUGCUACAAUGGCCGGUACAAAGGGUCGCGAAGCCGCGAGGCGAAGCCAAUCCCAAAAAACCGGUCUCAGUUCGGAUUGGAGUCUGCAACUCGACUCCAUGAAGUCGGAAUCGCUAGUAAUCGCGGAUCAGCACGCCGCGGUGAAUACGUUCCCGGGCCUUGUACACACCGCCCGUCACACCAUGGGAGUCAGUUGCUCCAGAAAUGGCCGCGCCAACCCGCAAGGGGAGCAGGUCCUUAAGGAGUGACUGGUGACUGGGGUGAAGUCGUAACAAGGUAGCCGUAGGGGAACCUGCGGCUGGAUCACCUCCUUUCUAAGGAGCUUUUUUCUUCCGCGAGGAGGGGAACAGCGCACUAGGUCAAGCGAGUUCGAGCAGUCUUGGAUAGGAUCGUGGGUUUUGCUCUUCGGUUUUGAGGGACCGAUACGGAAGACGUAUGACUGGUUCUUUGGAAGAAACUUGGGGAUGGCGCUCAUAUGGGCCUGUAGCUCAGUUGGUUAGAGCACACGCUUGAUAAGCGUGGGGUCGAUAGUUCAAAUCUAUCCAGGCCCAGCAAACCAACUGAAGAGAGGGGGCCGUAGCUCAGCUGGGAGAGCGCCAGCUUUGCAAGCUGGAUGUCGUCGGUUCGAUCCCGAUCGGCUCCACCAGGUUUUGGACCAAGAGUUCUUUGACAAUUGCAUAUGCGCAAGUAGGAAGUAGAGAGGAAGCCGGCGUGCCCGUAUGGACAACGGGUGGAAGGACUGCGCUGGACCUUGGUCUCUUUGAGGAGAAGUGGACGAAGGAGAGAGAUGACCAAGCUACGAAGGGCACACGAUGGAUGCCUAGGUGACAGGAGGCGAAGAAGGACGUGGGUAGCUGCGAAAAGCGUCGGGGAGCCGCUAACCAGGCUUUGAUCCGGCGAUAUCCGAAUGGGGAAACCCGG
rnacentral:sRNA from 1 species